rnacentral:rRNA from 1 species
GAUGAACGCUGGCGGCGUGCUUAACACAUGCAAGUCGAACGAUGAAGCCCAGCUUGCUGGGUGGAUUAGUGGCGAACGGGUGAGUAACGCGUGAGUAACCUGCCCUUAACUCUGGGAUAAGCCUGGGAAACUGGGUCUAAUACCGGAUAGGAGCGUGCACCGAAGGGGGGGUGUUGGAAAGAUUUAUCGGUUUUGGAUGGACUCGCGGCCUAUCAGCUUGUUGGGGAGGUAAUGGCACACCAAGGCGACGCCGGGUAGCCGGCCUGAGAGGGUGACCGGCCACACUGGGACUGCGAGACGGCCCAGACUCCUACGGGAGGCAGCAGUGGGGAAUAUUGCACAAUGGGCGCAAGCCUGAUGCAGCGACGCCGCGUGUGUGAUGACGGCCUUCGGGUUGUAAACCUCUUUCAGUAGGGAAGAAGCGAAAGUGACGGUACCUGCAGAAGAAGCACCGGCUAACUACGUG